rnacentral:lncRNA from 1 species
AAAUUUUUUGUUAAAUUGUUGAAGGGGCAUGCAUGUAUCGAAGCAAGAUGUUCAAAAAGAUGAUUGAGAAAAUGCCUUCUGGUAUAUCAGCAGCUAUGACAGCAAUUUCUGCAAGCAACCACAAGCAAUACUUGACAAUUAUUGGGUACUCGGCUUUGCAUAAUUCUGAUAGAUGUUUCCCUGAGAGAUUAAAGCAAUCAGAAAAAUAUAUGUAUGUUAGUUAAAAUAAUAAUAAUAAUAAUAAUUUUUAUUUACCAUUCUCAGAUAGUAUGUUAGUUUGGACUCACCCGUGCUAACACCAAGAUUUGCUGCAAGGGACUGAAUGAUGAGAGCAAAGAUCAGUCCGAUGAGAACCACCCACAGCAGCUGAAAAGAUUAAGCAACAAAAUUACAUUACAAAGUCA